GACGAACGCUGGCGGCGUGCUUAACACAUGCAAGUCGAACGGAAAGGCCCUGCUUUUGUGGGGUUCUCGAGUGGCGAACGGGUGAGUAACACGUGAGUAACCUGCCCUUGACUUUGGGAUGACUUCAGGAAACUGGGGAUAAUAUCGGAGAGGAGCUCCUGCUGCAUGGGGGGGGUUGGAAAGUUUCGGCGGUUCGGUAUGUACUCGCGGCGUAUCAGCUUGUUGGUGGGGUAGUGGCUUACCAAGGCUUUGACGGGUAGCCGGCCUGGGAGGGUGACCAGGCACAUUGGGCCUGAGAUACGGCCCAGAGUGCAACGGGAGGCAGCGGUGGGAAAUAUUGCGCAAUGGGCGGAAGCCUGAUGCAGCAACGCCGCGUGCGGGAUGACGGCCUUCGGGUUGUAAACCGCUUUCGACUGUGACGAAGCGUGAGUGACGGUAAUGGGUCAAGAAGCACCGGCUAACUACGUG
rnacentral:rRNA from 1 species